UGCGGUGGAACCACCUGAGACCAUACCGAACUCAGAAGUGAAACGCUGUAAUGCCGAUGGUAGUGUGGGGUUUCCCCAUGUGAGAGUAGGAC
rnacentral:rRNA from 1 species